GGAGGCGCUCAAAGGUUCCCUCAGAAUGGUUGGAAAUCAUUCAUAGAGUGUAAAGGCAUAAGGGAGCUUGACUGCGAGACCUACAAGUCGAGCAGGGUCGAAAGACGGACUUAGUGAUCCGGUGGUUCCGCAUGGAAGGGCCAUCGCUCAACGGAUAAAAGCUACCCCGGGGAUAACAGGCUUAUCUCCCCCAAGAGUUCACAUCGACGGGGAGGUUUGGCACCUCGAUGUCGGCUCAUCGCAUCCUGGGGCUGUAGUCGGUCCCAAGGGUUGGGCUGUUCGCCCAUUAAAGCGGUACGCGAGCUGGGUUCAGAACGUCGUGAGACAGUUCGGUCCCUAUCCGUCGUGGGCGUAGGAAAUUUGAGAGGAGCUGUCCUUAGUACGAGAGGACCGGGAUGGACAUACCUCUGGUGUACCAGUUGUCGUGCCAACGGCAUAGCUGGGUAGCUAUGUGUGGACGGGAUAAGUGCUGAAAGCAUCUAAGCAUGAAGCCCCCCUCAAGAUGAGAUUUCCCAACUUCGGUUAUAAGAUCCCUCAAAGAUGAUGAGGUUAAUAGGUUCGAGGUGGAAGCAUGGUGACAUGUGGAGCUGACGAAUACUAAUCGAUC
rnacentral:rRNA from 1 species